GAUUCUGGCUCAGGACGAACGCUGGCGGCGCGCCUAACACAUGCAAGUCGAACGAGAGAGGAAGAGCUUGCUCUUCUGAUCGAGUGGCGAACGGGUGAGUAACGCGUGAGGAACCUGCCUCAAAGAGGGGGACAACAGUUGGAAACGACUGCUAAUACCGCAUAAGCCCACGGCUCGGCAUCGAGCAGAGGGAAAAGGAGCAAUCCGCUUUGAGAUGGCCUCGCGUCCGAUUAG
rnacentral:rRNA from 1 species